UCGAUGCCGGGUCGACCCUUAGGGCACUAUUUGCCUUUGGAGUGGUUCGGCCAUUAAGCAACUUUGUGGGGUAGGGGACCAGGCUGGUGACUGUUGCAGUUGUUGUCUGCAGGGUAUGUGACACCCCACAAGUUGACUAGUGCUGAGCCAGGAGAUUUUCCUUUCGAUCGUUACAACGCUCGUUGAACGGUUCAAGUAGAAGUGAGUAGGUAAGAAGUAGAAAGCCCCAUAUCAAUCUAUCUCCAUUGGAGACAAUAUGAGCAAAAGACAGGAAUCCCUAAAUCCCACAGAAAAGAACUCAUUCCUGGGAGAGUGAGGGGGGUAUUUAAAAAAGAGAGUCGCGGGCUCUUUCUUUCCUUGUAGGAAAGGUCUUGGUUUGGUAUGGCAUUAAAGAAAACUUGUUAUGGUUAUGCAGAUAUAUAGAAAAGGCGGGUGGGGCUUCAGGCGGCUUUUUUUAUGAAUAGUUUCAAUCAAAAUUCCAUCCAUUGUAGCUAGUGAUUGCCUGGGUCGGUGUGUGAUCACCAAAGGUGAAGUAAUCCUUUAGAUGCUCUCUCCACCCAUGCCGAAUACCCCCGACCGGUUCCGCCGAGUAAGACCAGGAGCUGGUUUGUGGAAUCACGGGGCCUUACUUAUUCAGGGGGGACUUGAUUCUGAAAUGGAAUGAUUGAUAGAAUCGAUAUUUCAUAGAAGAAUGACUGAGAUCAUAAAAUCCUUUCACACCCGUACAUGUGGCUGAAUAUAGUUGGAAGUUCACACACCCUGGAAAAAUCCAUCCUCUAUCCCUGACUUGCCAGCUUGAUCGCUUGUCUUAUUUACCCUUUCCUUAACGGGUGGUUUAUUUCUGGUCCUUUCGGGUCACCUGACCUGGGCUGAUGGUGCUUCGUAACGGCUUUUCUGGAGUCCAGAGGCUCUCUAAGGCUUUGAUGUACUAUUACCUGCCACCAAAACAUCGUGAGGGAUUCAGUGAACGUCUUGAAACUUAGUAACACAAGACAAUUCACUGAAUGGUUGUUGGCUCUACCAGAGGAGUUUGAAAUCAACAACGUGUAACUACUUGGGCAUUGAGACUUCCGCUGCUUGAGGAAGUAUGUGAAAGGAUCGAUGUUGAGCAGAAGUGGGGUUAAAAUAGCCAACAAUGCAUCCCCCUUUACUUAGUAUAGUAGGGCUUGAAAGACUGGACAACUUGUUUUUCUUUCCUGUCCAGUAUUUUCAAUCCAAGCAAAAAUAGGAAAAGCCGCAAGCACCACUAGGCCCGGUCAUUGGUUGAAUGUCAAUAUGGUUCGAUAUUCAUUCCUUACUCAAAUAGGAAGGUGGCAGUCUCAAUCUAGCGGCGUGGUCCAGAACAAUUUCGGAUCCAUGGGGUUUUUGUUUUGGUUACAAGAAGUGAUUCUUUACUCUCUUGCAGCGCCUCGACUCGAGUUUCCACUGUUGGAUUGAGUGAGGUGACAAGAGCUGAAGCCAAGGUUCCUUGCUACACUCCAUAGAUAUUCGUACGAUUCUUGUGGAUUUUGGGUGUGUUUGAAUUUAGCCUCUCGUUAGGUCUUCACUUAAGGAUUGUCCACCUUCUCAAGCCUCUCUACCAUACCCUUAGAAAGUGACAACGGAUGACUUCCAUUACUAAAUGGAAGAACUUUUCAAACUAGUUGAUAGUUGUUCCCUGCCCCACAAUGGGUUCUAAUUUACUAAAUCACAUGUUUCUAUAUUCGGAACAUCACAUGUAGACUUUUUUGGGGGAGAAUCACUCGGCGCGAGGCCUCCCGUGUGAGGUCAGGUGAUGGUCAACAACUCAGGUAGGAAAUGCUGAAAAACGGCUAAUGAUGCAAGAGCUCUUUUCCCCUUAUACGCUCUAAAAAAAGGUAUGUCGGGUUUUUGGACCCUAUGUUGAGUAAGGUUUCCAAACCUUCCAAAAGUGAUAGGUAUGUGUUCUUUCUUGGCACUCUCUUUCUAUAUUAUGCCAACCUAAAAAGAGCGAUGGAAGGUGAAUUUCAGGUUCGAUAGUCUCGAGAAGGUAUUAGCCACCGGUGAUCAUACUUUCGUAAAAGCACCAUUGGGCAGUGGUUCCUCUCCUUCCUCUUCAACCUCGAACAAAAAAUUGAUCUCGCCAUCAGUUCGACUAAGAGUUCUGAAUCAAAAAAGUCAACUAAACUUUACUUAAGACGAAGGAAGCGAGUGCUGAAAAAAACCCGCUUUCUUAAGGUUUCAAACUACUAGUCAUUAAGACUACUAUGAAUGAAAGGUAAGGAAGUCCUUUUCUUGACUUAGCCUGCGUGCAUUAUACCUAACCCUUUCCUAAGAUUUCAAUCUCAACAAAGAAAUGAAAGCAUAACUCUUUGCUUGCUUGUAACGCUUCUUAGUCUUUUAUUUUAGCCUGCCUUGUGAAGAUCUCUCGAGUGUCUACGGCAGAUCUGAUCAGUCUCGCGAUGAAGAGAAUUUCCGAUGUUGAAAGGUAUCAUCACGACAACUCAAUUUGUCCGGUAAACUACUCAGGGCUCCCCAUGGUUUAGUAAAAGGGAGGGGAUAUUUUUUCUUCAUUCGGGUUCAUUCAUUAUGAACUAAAAAGUGGUUGGCUGAUUAGUGAGGUCUUAAAAAUGUCAUAGAAUUCAUGAUCAGCCAUUCCAUUUUUGCUUUCAGCAAGUAAGCGACGCGAAUCUAUGCUUUCUAUCUUUCAAUCGGAUACCAAUUGCUUGGAUGCGUUUGAAAGCUUCGCGAUGACUUGCAGAAAAAAUGCUUUCUAGGUUUGUCUUGUGUCUACGAAACAAACGGUCCAUUUAUUGAUGGGUGAACGACGGGGAGUGAACCCGCGCGUGGUGGAUUCAUAAUCCACUGCCUUGAUCCACUUGGCUACAUCCGCUCCUACCCCCACACAGGUUGAAGUCUCUAUCUACGAUCAGACCCUUUCUGAACUCCCCUAUAACCGCUUAUCAAAUAGAAGCUUUUUCCAUCACUAUAGUGGCAAGUCUAUUGUUGUGUUUUGGAAUUAGGGGAAACAAAGCUUCAAACAAAGAGGUUGGGCUAUUCACUUCAUUGAUUUGACUUCACUUUACUUAAUAUUAAAGAUAGGAGCCGGGCGGGCAAUGAAGGCUCAUUUAGUAGAUAGCGAACGAGCUGCAAGCACCUACUCCUAUCAAAAUAAAAAGCAGGAAGCGAAACUUGAACUUGAAGAAGCGAGCCUCUAUCAGAGAAAGCCAUUGCGCACUAGCCCCUUGUAUAGGGUUCUAAACCUGUGACCCCUAAACUACAAGCUUUCUUUAAAGCCCCUACAACAUGGGAUAUUUGAAGAAUACCCUUUCUAUAAACCUUUCUAUAAUAUAAGAGAAGCUCUUCGAGCUUUCUUCGCAUGCUUAAGCGCAUCCCCUUUCUAUUAGUAAGGUUGUCAAAUUUCCUUUAGUUCCUUUGUGACUAUAAUAUAAAUAAUAGGGGUAGGGGGCGCUAACAAGCAAGAAAAAGGGUCCGCUAAGGCGCAACGGCUUUCACGCAGCUGCUAUGCCCUUGCUUCUUGCCUUAUCUUUUACUAAGAAAAUAAUCUAAAUAGAAGCCUUUCUUUCUCAAAGUCAACUUUCUCCCUUCUUGCUUUAGUGAAAUAGGGGGCGCUAACGCGACCUUUCUUCAACUGGUUUCACCCUAUCUAUUCAUCUAUUUUCUCAAAUGGAUAUUUAGGGAUCUCUCUUGUUAAUAGAUCUUAAAACCAGAUCAAUAUCCAUUUCUCAAUAAAUCUAUUUAUCGAUAGAAAGAUAUAGACAUCUAUAUAGAUCUAUCUCCAUAUCUAAAUAUGGAAGAACCGACACUUAAGGGCGUAACUAACAGAAGGUUCUCACCCUAUCCCCGACAUUAUUCUCCGACGAUGUCCCCUGGGUAAAAGGUGGCCCUUGGACCACUUGACUGGUUGGAAAGGAGCCACCAUUCUCUUUCUUUCUUCUUCCGAUCAGGACAAGUGGGUUGGUUUGUUUUGUCCUCCUAUCUAUGCAAUUCUCUAUCUUCGUUCGUGAUCAUGUUGGGCGAAAGGUAGUUGUAGAGGAGCGUUCAGCCACUAUAAGGAGAGGGCCUUUUUUUUUCUUUAUUUAUUUUAUUUUCUCAUAUUUUGCCUUCUAUAUCUUAUAUAGAUUUUUUAGCGUAUAAUAAUUACCAAUACGAGGACUAUCGACUUCGUUUUCAACUUAUAAUAGAAGGGUCUCCUCUUCCUUCAUUUCGAUUGCUUAUUAGCUUACCGGCUGAACCAUCAUCAUAUGCUUGCUUGGUCACUUUCGUGAUAAGGCGCUUAAAAGGAUUCUGGAUUAUAUAUAUUUUGGGAACUAAAAGAGUGGCUGUUGAAAGGAAAGGGAAGCCAAAAAUUCUAGGGAAUCGACGUCCCCCAAACCAUUAGACUUCCAGGGAAGAAGAGUCCGGUCGCUAUUAAAACCCUUCUCGUAAAUCGAGGAAAUAUCAAAUCCAAUUUCGAUACUGGGUAGGAUUCACCAGCCGCUAGACAUAGCACAGAAGCCAACAGUAGUAUGAAUGGGACAGGAACUAUUUGACCUCUUUCAGGAAAAGUCCGUACACAUGGGGACACUGGCUGAUCCCGCCGACAGGAGCAAAGAAAGGUCUCUUUCGCCUACGAGCAUUUUUAUGAAGAAAGGAGUCUCGUACAAAGGGUUGAAAAGAAGGAUUUUACCUUAUUUCAGGUGGGUUAGUACGUGUCUGUUUGGGCAGAGGCGGACAAUGAAAAGAUAGAAAAGAGCGAAUUAUGCCAACCAACUCGACAAAGACAUUCAGAUAUGAAAAAGAUAAAGAAAUACAUGUUAAGAUGUGUUUUCCCAGCCAACUCGUACACGACCGUCUUUCUUUCGAAAACUUACUCUUGAAAGCAUUACAUGUUGCUACUAGAGGGCAAAAGAAUUAGCUUAUGAUAAAGAAUAACAAGGAAAAAGCUUUUUUCCCCAACGGAGGUGAUAGACCACCUUAUGGCCGAUGUGAUUACCAGCCAAAGGGCAAAAAGAUGGGGUUGAAUGGGACUCUACCAAUACCAAUCUCCUCUGGAGCAAGGAAAAGCAACUCUGCCUGGUAUCUGUAACGAUUAACAUAUUCUUUUUUUUUAGAGAUGGGAACCCUUACUUAAGAAUAGAGAGUGGCCGAGCAGUAUAGUAGUCUUCUGGACAAACUUGGGGUAACAAUCUCGAUAGCAAAAUCGAUAAUAUCCGAGAACGGAACCAUCGAGUUUGCUAAGAGAUUUUGGACUAAGAAUAUGCAAAUAGACUUAUCGCCAAUUUCUCUUAGGGCAUUAACUGUUUGUCGAACGACUGUGGGUCUUUGCCAAUUGUCAGUAAGAUAUUCAAUUUCUAUAUCGAUGCUUCAAAGGCUGGGAGGGGCAGGAUUCAGAGUUCGGUCACGCUUAUAUUCUACUCAAUCUAAGCGUUGGGAAUGAUUGAAAGCUGCUGCUCAGAAACCACACAGGUCACACUUACUAUCUUUAGAAUAUUGGAUUAGAAGGAAGGGCUUCGCUUUUCGAUUGCUUUUUGAGGCCGGUUUGGAUGAGCGUGGGCAAUUUUAGGAUUCACUAUCGCUUUCUGCUUGGAGCGGCUCACCCCCUUAUCACUUAAAGGGCGAAGUCGCUGAAGCGAGUCGAAAGGCCAAAGAGUCAUCUUUGAAGGCUACUAUGCAUCGUUAUUCAUAGUAGAGUGUAAGGUAGAUUUGGGUAUAGCAGGACUUGAACCUUCGACUAUUAGGUUAAAAGCCCAAUGCUCUACCAACUGAGCUAUACACCCAAAAAAAGAUGUAGUAGUAAAUAAGGAUUGGUACGAAAAAGAGGCCGGGCCCCCUUCUUCUCAUCAUACUACAGAGCAAGUAGAAGAAAACAUAAGGUCGCGCGUUAGCACUUCGGAAAGAAAAAGAAUGUGCUAAGGCGCAAGGGCUUUCGCGCAGCUGCUACGCCCUUGCUUCUUGCCCUUUAUUUCAAACUCAAGAAAAGCCUUGUUCGAUAUGAGAAAGAUGCACUCAAGUGGCCAACCUAUACAAGGGGCUUGGGCUCGAAAGCUGGCCUUACUCAAUAAGCACCUUUCUUAGUAAGGUUGCUUCUUUCCACCCAUUGAAGAUUCUAUCUACAAAAGAAGGUCAACGGGGGAUACUCAAAUUGCUCUCACUGACACCAGAGAAGGUGAGGUCAACUUUCUUUCCAGCCACCAUAUGGUUUACCUUAAAGCCUUAAGGAGAAGGGGAUGAGCAGUUAUCUAUGUAAUUACGGUCUUUGUUGGCCGUUGUUCCGGUCGAGCACUCUCUUUUCUUUGUCCAAUUCUAUCCUACCAAACAAGAUUGACUUCUUACCAACCCGCGAAGGGUUGUGAGGCUGGACCAGGUACGAGGAAUGAAUCUAUAUCUGUGUAUGGAAGUUUCUGGCCGGCGGCCGCUCAACUGUUCGAGCGCAAUGCAGUGGUGUUGGUUCCGAUUCGACAAAGGUAGAACGCUUGGUCGAAGGUCCAGUAUAGUAGGUAGCAAGCGUGUUCGUUUUGGCUCCCAAGCGAGAAUGAUAAAUAGGUGAUGCACCAUCCUUACUGCUACGUACAUUUUCCUUGACUUGACAGAUUCAUUCAAUUGAACCCACACUCAAAGGAGGACCACAAACUUGGGGCUCGACGAAACAGAAAGUUUCAGCAUGUUGAAAAUAGGGUUAGCAUAAAAGAAAGAGCCCAACAUUCAUUUCUGAAUGAAUAUUCAUAGCUGAGUCUACUAAAAGAGGGACCAGCCUCGUUGUGGUGAUUAAAGGACACCUCUGAUUGUUCACCUCUAAUGUGACACGUUCCCUCCCAGUUAUAUGAUCAACGGGAUCAGUCAUCUAGAGAGAAGGGCUAUUCUUCUUUCGGGGAGACAAAGUCAUCCCUUCUACUGAUCGAACCCUCAGUUCGAGGGCCUUCAUCAACAUGUUACGAAGCUCCAGUCUUCGAUGGGUCACCAUUACUUGACUUAGAAAGGCGAACAUCUGGGCAAGGGAAAACGUAGUGCGCCUGGUGCAAAUGGCUUUCUUUUUUCAUGAUAUACCAAUCAGAAUAUAGGGUCCUACCUACGUACAUCAUUGAUAGAAUCACUACGUAGGGGGGUGGUCAACUUGAUGCGGGAGAGGCAUGAGUGUAGUUCAAUCUUGUGGUGUAUUCAUUUAUAGUGAGUAGGGCCUCUUUCUCAUUGAUCAGUUCGCCUCCGCUCUAUUGAAAGGUAGGAAUUCCUACGACGGUUUUGUCAACGAACGCGUCUCGGGCCGGAUUGACUAACCUAAACCACCCUGUUGGAGUCUUUUCCAUAGUUGGGUGUCCGCUUUAGUGUGGUUUACGAAGGCUAGGCUAGGUUUGGUAAUAUCCAAAACAAAUGAAAAGAGAUCGGGGUUGAUAGGUGGUAGUUGGCAAGGAACUUGAUCCCCCCCCCCAAAAAAAAGGGGGAAGCCGCAGUCAAACUUAAAUUCUGGAAAUAAGUCUGGCCCUUUUUACCAAGUCUACCAGAUAGAAGAUGAUAGAGGGCCAACUAUCGUUGCCUUGCACAAGA
rnacentral:lncRNA from 1 species